rnacentral:tRNA from 2 species
UGGGGGAUCGUCUAAUGGCAGGACGCAAGUUUCUGGUACUUGUUAUCUAGGUUCGAAUCCUAGUCCCCCAGCCA